rnacentral:rRNA from 1 species
UACGGGGGGGGCAAGCGUUGCUCGGAAUUACUGGGCGUAAAGGGCUUGUAGGUGGCCAACUAAGUCAGACGUGAAAUCCCUCGGCUUAACCGGGGAACUGCGUCUGAUACUGGAUGGCUUGAGUGUGGGAGAGGGAUGCGGAAUGCCAGGUGUAGCGGUGAAAUGCGUAGAUAUCUGGAGGAACACCGGUGGCGAAGGCGGCAUCCUGGACCAUUACUGACACUGAAAAGCGAAAGCCAGGGGAGCAAACGGG